AUGUCUGGAAGCAUGGGAGAACGCUCUUCUGCUUAUAUUAUUACCAGUAUUCGAUAUUGGGUUAUUCAUAGCAUUACUAUACCUUCCUUAUUCAUUGCGGGUUGGUUAUCCGUCAGCCCAGCUUUCACUUGGAAAAAUAGGAGAUUUAGUUCCAUGCUUUGA
rnacentral:rRNA from 1 species